UACAGAGGAGCCAAGCGUUGUCCGGAUUGACUGGGCGUAAAGCGCACGCAGGCGGUCGCGCGCGUUGGGGUGUGAAAAUCUGGCCGCUUAACGGCCAGGCGCCAUCCCAUACGGCACGACUGGAGUGAUGCAGAGGUCGAUGGAAUUGCCGGUGUAGUGGUGAAAUGCGUAGAGAUCGGCAGGAACACCCAGGGGGAAACCAGUCGAACUGGGCAUCUACUGACGCUGAGGUGCGAGAGCGUGGGGAGCGAACCGG
rnacentral:rRNA from 1 species